rnacentral:rRNA from 1 species
UGUCGGGUAAGUUCCGACCUGCACGAAUGGCGUAACGACUUCCCCGCUGUCUCCAACAUCGACUCAGCGAAAUUGAAUUGCCUGUCAAGAUGCAGGCUUCCCGCGGUUAGACGGAAAGACCCCGUGCACCUUUACUACAGCUUCAGACUGGCAUCAGGCAUGUGAUGUGCAGGAUAGGUGGUGGGCUUCGAAGCGGGGACGUCAGUCCCCGUGGAGCCACCCUUGAGAUACCACCCUUUGCCUGCUUGAUGUCUAACCGCGGUCCGUCAUCCGGAUCCGGGACCCUCUGUGGCGGGUAGUUUGACUGGGGCGGUCGCCUCCCAAAGAGUAACGGAGGCGUGCGAAGGUUGGCUCAGAGCGGUCGGAAAUCGCUCGUUGAGUGCAAUGGCAGAAGCCAGCCUGACUGCGAGACUGACAGGUCGAGCAGAGUCGAAAGACGGCCAUAGUGAUCCGGUGGUCCCGCGUGGAAGGGCCAUCGCUCAACGGAUAAAAGGUACGCCGGGGAUAACAGGCUGAUGGUGCCCAAGAGUCCAUAUCGACGGCACCGUUUGGCACCUCGAUGUCGGCUCAUCUCAUCCUGGGGCUGAAGCAGGUCCCAAGGGUACGGCUGUUCGCCGUUUAAAGAGGUACGUGAGCUGGGUUUAGAACGUCGUGAGACAGUUCGGUCCCUAUCUGCCGUGGGUGCAGGAUACUUGAGAGGAGUUGCCCCUAGUACGAGAGGACCGGGGUGAACGAUCCACUGGUGGACCUGUUGUGGCGCCAGCCGCAGUGCAGGGUAGCUAUGAUCGGAAAGGAUAACCGCUGAAGGCAUCUAAGCGGGAAGCCCCCCUCGAAACAAGGUAUCCCUGAGGGCCGUGCGAGACCAGCACGUCGAUAGGCCGGGUGUGCAAGCGCAGCAAUGCGUUCAGCUGACCGGUACUAAUUGCCCGAUAGGCUUGAUUUGAUCCAG